rnacentral:rRNA from 1 species
AUGGCGUCUACGGCUGACAACGAGGCCGUCUUCGGAGACGAGUUCGUGGCUGAUGAGAUCCUCGCCCGUCUACCGGCCCGCUGCGCCGUGCGCUGCAUCGGCCUCUCCAAGCGCUUCUGGCAACUCCUCAUAAGCCCAUAUUUCUGGCUUCGCCACCGCCAUCUCGGCGCGCCAGGCCUGGAACUCCCUCAUGCCGCUUGCCUCUACGACAAACGUGAUUACUGCAAGACCACCUACUUCAAUGCCGUCGGCCCCGCGUUCGCCUUCGAGCACACCGUCAACCUCGAGCACGGCAGCUGGUACGCCAACACCUGCAACGGGCUGGUCCUCCUGGCCGCCCGGUCUUCCCUCGACGGCGUCGUUUUCAACCCGGCCACCAAGGAGGAGGUGCGCCUGUCCGUGCCGUCGUUGCCACCGCCGGCGGCUCCCGAGGACGACGACGGCUAUGUGCUACGCCGCUUCUUGGGGUUUGGGUACGCGCCGUCGAGCAAGGUCUACAAGGCUCUCAUCUCGGAGUUCGUAGCUGACGGCGAUAGCACGACAGCAACGUUGAUGGUGGCAUCAUUGGACAGUGUCGGCUGCCAGCAAGUGCCGAGGACGGUGUUCUCAUGCGACAAGGAAAUUCUCAGCGAGCACAGCCUACACACGGCGGACAACAAAGUGUACUUUCUUAUAUACACAUCGUGCUUCACCGACGAGGAGGGACUUGAAGAGUAUGAGACCGAUGCGACAUCCAUGCUUGUUUUCGAUGCCGACGACGAGGUCGUCACAAGCGUUGCUGUCCCGGAAGGGCAACCAAUUCAACCCUGCAACAUGUUACAGAUAGGUGGGCGUCCGUGCAUCUACAUGUGCACGGGCCAAGACAUGGUGCUCUGGUUACUCACUCCCGAUCACCAUUGGGAGAAGGUAUACACUCUGGUCAAGCAAAGCUCUCGGUCACACGAUUAUUUGUUGGGGGCCUGGGACUGCGGAGGUGGCCUUCUGUUUGCUAACUUCAAAAUUACCGGUGCCUACUUGUACAACCUCCACGAGGCCAUUGAUGAGGAAAAGGAAGAAGGCGAUUGCGGCGGCCACCGCAGGCUGGAGGCUGUCUCAUUGAAGAACAAAGACGACAUGCCAGAGCAUUUAAAACAUAUUGGGGAUGUUCCGACAAAUCUAUAUGAUUACCAGCCGACGCUCAUAUCACCAGCGAGUAUCUUCGGCGAUGUUGCCUUCUCAGACCGUUUUGAGGUUACUGUCUUGCCCAAGCAUGAGUUGGAUUGGAUUUUCCUGGAAUUUACGCGGAAGUUAUUCGUAGAGCCGGCGAUGCAAAUGCUCUCUACAUCAGGUGGCAUCUAG